rnacentral:ncRNA from 1 species
GUGUUAAAUGAAAGAAAAGCUGGUUAGCACUCCCCUUGAUAAGGAUGGACGACCUACGGGUCUAAAACAAAUGUUAAAGCACUGCCUCUACUUUGGGUAACUUAACAGGUUUUUUC